rnacentral:lncRNA from 1 species
UUGCAAAAUAUUUAGGGUAAAGAUAUGAACUUUGAGCCGCAGAUUGUUCCCAAUGUUUCCAUACGAAAAGAAGCAUUACGCAGUAAAUGCAGAUUUAAAAGAAUAAGUACGUAAAUUCUGUGAUUUUAGGUUUUUGAUUGCGAGUAAAAACAUAAGCUGAGUACACUGUGUAUAUAAAUCAGCACAUAACAUAUCAAUAAC